UGGACAGAUUAUUGUAUUCGACUGUAUUUACGUCGCGAAACAGGGGAUUACACUGUUUUUAAACGGAAAGUGAAUCAAUUAAUAUAAUAGACUCCU
rfam:Nicotiana attenuata strain TT chromosome 12, whole genome shotgun sequence.